UCUCCGUUGGUGAACCAGCGGAGGGAUCAUUACAGAGUUUACAACUCCCAAACCCCUGUGAACUUACCAUGUCGUUGCCUCGGCGGUGUCUUGCUUCGGCGAGCCCGCCAGAGGACCCAACAAACUCUUGUUUUUUUAGUAUUAUCUGAGUGACAAGUUUAAUAAAUCAAAACUUUCAACAACGGAUCUCUUGGUUCUGGCAUCGAUGAAGAACGCAGC
rnacentral:misc_RNA from 1 species